GUGCCAGCCAACUGUGGCUGCCUGGGACACUCCAUCUUAAGUCCCUGUGCCUCUGCUGUGUGUUACUGAGUGCCUAGGCCGUGCCAGCCUGUAUUCAUCUGUACUAUGACCUGAAGAGGCAGAGGCCAUCAUUGUUGGUCUGGUCUCCACCUGGGGAAACUGAGGUUGCACAGUUGCGUGGUGGAGUGAGGGCAGGGGCAGGGUCUGGGUCUGGGGGCAGGGCCUGGGUCUGACCCCAGGGACUGGUUUUUGUGUUCAGGUGUCUCUGUGGUGACGAGCAGGGCUUCAUCCAGUGCCUCUGUCCCCACCGAGGGGACUGUGGGAGCCAUGGAGGGUGUGUGAGCAACAGGUGAGACUGGAGCCAGCUGAAAACUGGGAGACCGACCCAGCCAACAAACAAUGUCGGUCUCUGUCCUGGCACCCGCAGGAAACAAGCUCCUACUUCCAGAAAAAGUGCUCCUGGGACUCCAGGAUACCAAGCAUCUGGGUAAGGUACAAUGCUUAACCACUUAACGCAAUCAGGAAGCAACAGCCAUGCAUUCGGGAAAGGAACUUCAGUGUUGUGUGGCUCAGUCUC
rnacentral:lncRNA from 1 species